UACGGAGGGUGCAAGCGUUAUCCGGAUUCACUGGGUUUAAAGGGUGCGUAGGAGGGCAGGUAAGUCAGUGGUGAAAUCCCCAAGCUUAACUUGGGAACUGCAUCCGAUACUGGAUGGCUUGAAUCCGGGAGAGGGAUGCAGAAUUCCAGGUGUAGCGGUGAAAUGCGUAGAUAUCUGGAGGAAUACCGGUGGCGAAGGCGGCAUCCUGGACCGGCAUUGACGCUGAGGAGCGAAAGCUAGGGGAGCAAACGGG
rnacentral:rRNA from 1 species